ensembl:lncRNA
UGAGCAUUGGGUUAGUGUGAGCAUUGGGUUAGUGUGAGCAUUUCAUUGGGUUAGUGUGAGCAUUUCAUUGGGUUAGUGUGAGCAUUUCAUUGGGUUAGUGUGAGCAUUUCAUUGGGUUAGUGUGAGGCAUUUCAUUGGGUUAGUGUGAGCAUUGGGUUAGUGUGAGCAUUGGGUUAGUGUGAGCAUUGGGUUAGUGUGAGCAUUUCAUUGGGUUAGUGUGAGCAUUUCAUUGGGUUAGUGUGAGCAUUGGGUUAGUGUGAGCAUUUCAUUGGGUUAGUGUGAGCAUUGGGUUAGUGUGAGCAUUUCAUUGGGUUAGUGUGAGCAUUGGGUUAGUGUGAGCAUUGGGUUAGUGUGAGCAUUGGGUUAGUGUGGG